UACGAAGGGGGCAAGCGUUGUUCGGAAUUACUGGGCGUAAAGGGCGCGUAGGCGGUGCACUAAGUCAGGCGUGAAAGCCCUGGGCUCAACCCGGGAAUUGCGCUUGAUACUGGUGCGCUUGAAUCCAGGAGAGGUUGGUGGAAUUCCCAGUGUAGAGGUGAAAUUCGUAGAUAUUGGGAAGAACACCGGGUGGCGAAAGGCGGCUCUCUGGGACCGAUACUGACGCUGAGGCGCGAAAGCGUGGGGAGCAAACAGG
rnacentral:rRNA from 1 species